rnacentral:rRNA from 1 species
UGGGGAAUAUUGCGCAAUGGGGGAAACCCUGACGCAGCGACGCCGCGUGAGCGAAGAAGGCCUUAGGGUUGUAAAGCUCUGUUUUAGGGGACGAAAGCUAUAGGGAGAAAUAUGCCCUGUAAAUGACGGUACCCUAAGAGGAAGCCCCGGCUAACUACGUGCCAGCAGCCGCGGUAAGACGUAGGGGGCGAGCGUUGUCCGGAAUUACUGGGCGUAAAGAGCACGUAGGCGGGAACUUAAGUCAGGUGUGAAAGACCGUGGCUCAACCACGGGUAUGCAUUUGAAACUGGGUUUCUUGAGGGCAGGAGAGGAAAGCAGAAUUCCUGGUGUAGCGGUGAAAUGCGUAGAAAUCAGGAGGAAUACCAGUGGCGAAGGCGGCUUUCUGGACUGACCCUGACGCUGAGGUGCGAAAGCGUGGGUAGCAAACAG